UCCAGAAGCCUAUGGAGAGGCCCACGUGGUGAGGAACUGAGGCCUCCAGCCCACAGCCACGGAGGAGUGAAGGCUUCUGCCAACUGCCCAGUGAGCAUGCAUGGAAGCAGUCUCCAACCUCGAUCAAACUGCAGAUGACUGCAGACCCCCCGCAUCUCGACAGCAAUCUCAGAAGAGACCCUGGGCCAGAUCUGCCCAGCUAAGCUGCUUCUGAAUUCCUGGCCCCCAGAAAGUGGAUUCCAAAGUGUGGUCCUUGGGGCUCUGUGAAGGGUGCACCUCCAGGGCUUGUUUCUCUGUCAGCUCCCAUUUGAGAGCAAAUGCUGCCACUGCAGGGUCCUCAAUGAGUCUCCAAGGAGCCCAGCUUCGGGGGAUCCCAGGUCAGUUCUCAAACCUCUAGGACCUCCCAUAUGUGUGUCUACAUUCAUGGCUACAGUCCAAUAUUUGAUGAUCCUAGUGAUAGCUCUGAGUUACCAAGAACAGGUAAAACUAUGCUCAGUGAUCUGUACACCUUGGACAAAUACUUAAUUCCCCUGUGUGAGUUUCCAUAGCUCUGAAAUGGCAAUAACCCUGUACAUACCUCACAGGGUUGUUGUGAUGAUUAAGUUAAUUAAUACAUGUAAAGCACUUAAA